rnacentral:rRNA from 1 species
UACGUAGGGUGCGAGCGUUGCCCGGAUUUAUUGGGCGUAAAGAGCUCGUAGGCGGUCUGUCGCGUCGAAUGUGAAAACCCGGGGCUCAACCCCGGGCCUGCAUUCGAUACGGGCAGACUAGAGUUCGGUAGGGGAGUCUGGAAUUCCUGGGUGUAGCGGUGAAAAUGCGCAGAUAUCAGGAGGAACACCGGUGGCGAAGGCGGGACUCUGGGCCGAUACUGACGCUGAGGAGCGAAAGCGUGGGGAGCAAACAGG